rnacentral:rRNA from 1 species
UAGCGUAUAUUAAAGUUGUUGCAGUUAGAACGCUCGUAGUCGGAUUUCGGGGCGGGGCGACCGGUCUGCCGAUGGGUACGCACUGGUCGGCGCGUCCUUCCUUCCGGAGACCGUGCCUACUCUUAACUGAGCGGGGGCGGGAGACGGAUCGUUUACUUUGAAAAAAUCAGAGUGUUUCAAGCAGGCAGUUUGCUCUUGCAUGGAUUAGCAUGGGAUAAUGAAAUAGGACUUUGGUGCUAUUUUGUUGGUUUCGAACACCGAAGUAAUGAUGAGAAGGGACAGUCAGGGGCACUCGUAUUCCGCCGAGAGAGGUGAAAUUCUCAGACCAGCGGAAGACGAACCACUGCGAAAGCAUUUG